UACAGAGGGUGCGAGCGUUAAUCGGAAUUACUGGGCGUAAAGCGUGCGUAGACGGUCAAGUAAGUCGGGUGUGAAAGCCCCGGGCUCAACCUGGGAAUUGCAUUCGAGACUGCGUGGCUAGGGUGCGGAAGAGGGAAGCGGAAUUUCCGGUGUAGCGGUGAAAUGCGUAGAUAUCGGGAGGAACACCAGUGGCGAAGGCGGCUUCCUGGCCUGUUCUUGACGCUGAGGCGCGAAAGCUAGGGGAGCAAACGGG
rnacentral:rRNA from 1 species